ACUAAGCGUACACGGUGGAUGCCCUGGCAGUCAGAGGCGAUGAAGGACGUGCUAAUCUGCGAAAAGCGUCGGUAAGGUGAUAUGAACCGUUAUAACCGGCGAUGUCCGAAUGGGGAAACCCAGUGCAAUUCGUUGCACUAUCGUUAACUGAAUACAUAGGUUAACGAGGCGAACCGGGGGAACUGAAACAUCUAAGUACCCCGAGGAAAAGAAAUCAACCGAGAUUCCCCCAGUAGCGGCGAGCGAACGGGGAGCAGCCCAGAGUCUGAAUCAGCUUGUGUGUUAGUGGAACGGUCUGGAAAGUCCGACGGUACAGGGUGAUAGUCCCGUACACCAAAAUGCACAGGUUGUGAACUCGAAGAGUAGGGCGGGACACGUGGUAUCCUGUCUGAAUAUGGGGGGACCAUCCUCCAAGGCUAAAUACUCCUGACUGACCGAUAGUGAACCAGUACCGUGAGGGAAAGGCGAAAAGAACCCCGGCGAGGGGAGUGAAAAAGAACCUGAAACCGUGUACGUACAAGCAGUGGGAGCACCUUCGGGUGUGACUGCGUACCUUUUGUAUAAUGGGUCAGCGACUUAUAUUCUGUAGCAAGGUUAACCGUAUAGGGGAGCCGCAGGGAAACCGAGUCUUAACUGGGCGUUAAGUUGCAGGGUAUAGACCCGAAACCCGGUGAUCUAGCCAUGGGCAGGUUGAAGGUUGGGUAACACUAACUGGAGGACCGAACCGACUAAUGUUGAAAAAUUAGCGGAUGACUUGUGGCUGGGGGUGAAAGGCCAAUCAAACCGGGAGAUAGCUGGUUCUCCCCGAAAGCUAUUUAGGUAGCGCCUCGUGAAUUCAUCUUCGGGGGUAGAGCACUGUUUCGGCUAGGGGGUCAUCCCGACUUACCAACCCGAUGCAAACUACGAAUACCGAAGAAUGUUAUCACGGGAGACACACGGCGGGUGCUAACGUCCGUCGUGAAGAGGGAAACAACCCAGACCGCCAGCUAAGGUCCCAAAGUCAUGGUUAAGUGGGAAACGAUGUGGGAAGGCACAGACAGCCAGGAUGUUGGCUUAGAAGCAGCCAUCAUUUAAAGAAAGCGUAAUAGCUCACUGGUCGAGUCGGCCUGCGCGGAAGAUGUAACGGGGCUAAACCAUGCACCGAAGCUGCGGCAGCGACACUAUGUGUUGUUGGGUAGGGGAGCGUUCUGUAAGCCUGCGAAGGUGUGCUGUGAGGCAUGCUGGAGGUAUCAGAAGUGCGAAUGCUGACAUAAGUAACGAUAAAGCGGGUGAAAAGCCCGCUCGCCGGAAGACCAAGGGUUCCUGUCCAACGUUAAUCGGGGCAGGGUGAGUCGACCCCUAAGGCGAGGCCGAAAGGCGUAGUCGAUGGGAAACAGGUUAAUAUUCCUGUACUUGGUGUUACUGCGAAGGGGGGACGGAGAAGGCUAUGUUAGCCGGGCGACGGUUGUCCCGGUUUAAGCAUGUAGGCUGGUUAUCCAGGCAAAUCCGGAUAAUCAAGGCUGAGGUGUGAUGACGAGGCACUACGGUGCUGAAGUAACAAAUGCCCUGCUUCCAGGAAAAGCCUCUAAGCAUCAGGUAACAUCAAAUCGUACCCCAAACCGACACAGGUGGUCAGGUAGAGAAUACCAAGGCGCUUGAGAGAACUCGGGUGAAGGAACUAGGCAAAAUGGUGCCGUAACUUCGGGAGAAGGCACGCUGGUGUGUAGGUGAAGUCCCUGCGGAUGGAGCUGAGACCAGUCGAAGAUACCAGCUGGCUGCAACUGUUUAUUAAAAACACAGCACUGUGCAAACACGAAAGUGGACGUAUACGGUGUGACGCCUGCCCGGUGCCGGAAGGUUAAUUGAUGGGGUUAUCCGUAAGGAGAAGCUCUUGAUCGAAGCCCCGGUAAACGGCGGCCGUAACUAUAACGGUCCUAAGGUAGCGAAAUUCCUUGUCGGGUAAGUUCCGACCUGCACGAAUGGCGUAAUGAUGGCCAGGCUGUCUCCACCCGAGACUCAGUGAAAUUGAACUCGCUGUGAAGAUGCAGUGUACCCGCGGCAAGACGGAAAGACCCCGUGAACCUUUACUAUAGCUUGACACUGAACAUUGAGCCUUGAUGUGUAGGAUAGGUGGGAGGCUUUGAAGCGUGGACGCCAGUCUGCGUGGAGCCAACCUUGAAAUACCACCCUUUAAUGUUUGAUGUUCUAACGUUGGCCCCUUACCGGGGUUGCGGACAGUGUCUGGUGGGUAGUUUGACUGGGGCGGUCUCCUCCCAAAGCGUAACGGAGGAGCACGAAGGUUAGCUAAUCCUGGUCGGACAUCAGGAGGUUAGUGCAAUGGCAUAAGCUAGCUUGACUGCGAGCGUGACGGCGCGAGCAGGUGCGAAAGCAGGUCAUAGUGAUCCGGUGGUUCUGAAUGGAAGGGCCAUCGCUCAACGGAUAAAAGGUACUCCGGGGAUAACAGGCUGAUACCGCCCAAGAGUUCAUAUCGACGGCGGUGUUUGGCACCUCGAUGUCGGCUCAUCACAUCCUGGGGCUGAAGUAGGUCCCAAGGGUAUGGCUGUUCGCCAUUUAAAGUGGUACGCGAGCUGGGUUUAGAACGUCGUGAGACAGUUCGGUCCCUAUCUGCCGUGGGCGCUGGAGAAUUGAGGGGGGCUGCUCCUAGUACGAGAGGACCGGAGUGGACGCAUCACUGGUGUUCGGGUUGUCAUGCCAAUGGCACUGCCCGGUAGCUAAAUGCGGAAGAGAUAAGUGCUGAAAGCAUCUAAGCACGAAACUUGCCCCGAGAUGAGUUCUCCCUGAGACUUUAAGUCUCCUGAAGGAACGUUGAAGACGACGACGUUGAUAGGCCGGGUGUGUAAGCGCAGCGAUGCGUUGAGCUAACCGGUACUAAUGAACCGUGAGGCUUAACC
rnacentral:rRNA from 1 species